rnacentral:lncRNA from 1 species
GUAUGUCAAAUUUUGGGAUAAAAUUCAAAUUCAAAAAAUAAAUCAAUACGACAGGAGUACAAAAAUCAUCUCAACCAAGUAAAUAGAUUAAUCAACAGAGCAUUCACAAGAUUUAAUUAAACUAGGUAAAAAGAAGGAAGAGUAAGCAAAGAAGAAAUGCACCUUAAGUGCAAUACUCCUUUCUAAUCUGGAAAGUAACCGUUGACCCAGAACUUUGAACAAAAAUCAUAGCAAUAGGAACCGGAGCUACGAACGGGAUACUUGUCACUGAAAGAGAAAACCACAACACGAACAAAAGUAACUGCUGAACUACUCAAUCUUUUCCUGUUGUGGUUGGCUUAUGAACGAUUGUAGCGAAAAUGGUUAUUAAUCCUGAGUCGAGUUAAUGUUCAGUACAUAUUUGUUUUUAUUCUUGUCAGUCUGUUUUAUGGAAGAAAGUAGUUCACGUAUGAUGGUUUUCUAGCGGUGUUGCUGCUUUGGGUCACUGGUUUUAGAUGGAAUUUUGCCCUCAAGCUAUUAAAGGAGACCGGCUACUUGUGGUUUUCAGCUGGCUUUAUGAAGGUGAAUUUUGGAGCUCUGUUUUUGGGCCGUUGGUUUCACAUGGUGUAAAUAAUGGAGAUGUGCUGAUGGUUUUAUGGAAUUUGGAAAUUUGUUAGUGAAGAAAUGUUGCGUGUGAUUAUGAAAAGUGAAGAAGGGAGCAAGAAACGUAUUGUAGAGAAUAUUUUUGUUCUCUGCCGAAUUUUG